CGGCGGCAUUUUCCCACGCGAGUGAGGGAGACGCAAAUAAAAGAUUUGGGUUGCUAAUAUUUUUCUACCCCGGGCGUCCCUUUUGUAUGGAGCGCUGACUGGCCAGAAGCUGGCUAAACCGGUUGAUUGGAUGUUUAAAUGGUGCUGGGAAGAGGGCAUUAGCAGAGAGCUGGAUCAGAAUUGGAGCACCCAGGACUGGAACGAGCACCCAAAGGGGAAGCCAGUAUCACAGCUUAACCUGCCACCCCGCAAUGACAGACCCCUCUAAAUUUCAUCUAACAAGUUGGCCUAUAAUGUGCCUCAGAGAGGAUCUUCUGUGGUUGAAGUGAUCAGUGGUCCUUUGGACGUCCUGAAGCUGAAUGUUGGUAUCUUUUCCAAGACUAAAAUACAACUUAGAAAAGAGGGACUCCCUGCUUCAACUCCUCAGGACCUGCACAGCCCAGAAACGACGAGACUUGGCCGCAUCACAGCCUCGGAUCUGUCUCCUUAAGACAGCCUCGUGCUGAGCCCUCAGGACCAGUGUUUCUCCGGAGGAAGCCACAACCUCCUCUCAGCUCAGUGCAUGAACUGAUGCUUGAGGCUUGGCCCCGGGAGUCCGCCACAGCCGGCGUCACAGGUGGCUCUAGCAGGGAAAGCGCAUGUACGGUGGAAAGCUGCGUUUGUGCGUGCCAGCCAUGCUCCAAACUGUACCAGCGGAUUUUAGCCUUUUUACUGCCCGGGCCGCUGGGAGAAGCACGAGGACCUCCCGCUCUCCCAGCCUCGGGAGGCUGUGAAUUACACGCCUCAUCCGCGUCACACACUUCCUCCACCCUAGACGCGCAGCUUCCUUGAGUCAGACUCUGACACGUCCGUCCCCAGCAGGCGCUCAAGGCCACUGCCUCCCAGCGAGGACGGGAUGCAGGAGCGUGAGGAAGCACCAGCGGUUCAUCCCCAGGGGAGGGGAAGCCCGCUUCCUUAGUCAUCGGUACCUCAGUUAAUGACGAUGGGGAGAGAGUUGGCCCGAGUGUCCUGAGGGAGGGGCGGGAAGGUCAUGUUGAACGUCUUAGGAAGGCUGAGCCAUGGUCCCUCCAUUCAGCCGUCCUUUCAUCACAUUGUGAACGUCAACAGUUCUUUGUCACACAUUUAAGGGAAAUUUCUGGUUUCCAAAUGAACAUGGCAAAGAGAGAUCUCUAGAAACAAAACACAGAUAAAACACAAGUGAGCAGCAACAAGGAGAUGACAAUUUAGCAUCCAUAACAGGAAAACAACCUGAAGAAUAAUGGGUUUUAGAAUAAUGGUGUAUUAUAUAUAGCUUAAGAAUUUUCACUAAACAAUGUUAAAUUUUGUCAUAGGCAUGAGAAAAUAUUUUAAUGGAUAUUUAAAAAUACUAAUUAUCAAAAUUUUAAGAUUGUGUUAAAGUGGUUCUUAGAAAUUUAAAUACAUGCUUAUAUUACAAAAAAGGAUUAUUUAAAAUUAAUUAGCAAAGCCUAUAUGUUGAGAAGUUAGAAAAAAUGCAAUUUAAAUAGCAAAAAAAAUUUUAAAGAUUUAUUUAUUUAUUUGGAAGUCAGAGUUACCUAGAGAGGCAGAGAGAGAGAGAGAGGUCUUACUCACUGGUUCACUUCCCAAAUGGCCACAAUGGCCGGAGCUGUGCCGAUCCGAAGCCAGGAACAUCUUCCGGAUCUCCCACACGGGUGCAGGUACCCAAGGACCUGAGCCAUCCUCUAAUGCUUUCCCAGGCCAUAGCAGAGAACUGGAUUGGAAGAGGAGCAGCCGGGACUUGAACUGGCACCAAUAUGAGGUGCCGGCACUGCAGACAGUAGCUUUACCCUAUACGCAACAGCACCGGCCCUGCAAAAUUAAUUCAUAGAAAACAUAUACUGAACACUAGAGCAGGAAUGACUAAAGCAGAAAGCAUAAAUAUAAUUAGAAAAGAUUGGGGCCAGUGCUGUGGCGCAGCAGGUUGGGUUAAAGCCCUGGCCUGAAGCACCAGUAUUUCAUAUGGGUACUGGUUCUAGUCAUGGCUGCUCCUCUUUCAAUCCAGCUCUCUGCUAUGGCUGGGGAUAGUGAUGGAAGAUGGUCCAAGUCCUUGGGCUCCUGCACCCACAUGCGAGACCCAGAACAAGCUCCUGGCUCCUGGUUUUGGAUCGGUACAGCUCCGGCGUUGCAGCCAUCUGGGGAGUGAAUAAGCGGAUGGAAGACCUCUCUCUCUCUCUCUCUCUGUGUAACUCUUUCAAAUAAAUAAAAAUAAAUCUUAUUUUUUAAAAAAAGAAAGAAAAGAUUAACAAAACCAAAGGUUGACUUUUUAAAAAGACUAAUAAAACUGACAAACCUCUGCCAAGAUAGAUUAAAGAAAAAAAAAUAGAGAAGGCCACAAUAACCAUAAUAUCAGGAAUGAAAGCAGAAUGUUAUUAUGAAGGCUAUAGACAUUAAAAAUAGAAUAAAUAGGUUUAAAUAACUGUAUGCCAGUCACAUUUUAAAAUUUUUUCACAGAAAAAUUCCUGGAAAAAUACAAUACAACAUCAAAACUGAAAUAGGACGACAUUAAGAGCCAGAAAAGUUGUAUAACAGACGGAAUCAGAGGUUUAACAAUCCUUUCCACAAAGCAAACUGGAGUUACAGGGCUUCUCCAGACAUCAAAAGAAAAAGGAACUCUAAUCUCCAAAAACAAUUGUAGGCAAGUUCUAAAACCAGGAAGUGUUCUGGAACUCACUUUAUGAGGCUAGCAUAAUUUUGGCCUGAAAUUCCCAGGAGGAGCAUAUGGAAAUGAGAAUAUACAGGCUCAUGGCCAGCGCCGCAGCUCACUAGGCUAAUCCUCCGCCUUGCGGCUCCGGCACACCAGGUUCUAGUCCCGGUCGGGGCGCCGGAUUCUGUCCCGGUUGCCCCUCUUCCAGGCCAGCUCUCUGCUGUGGCCAGGGAGUGCAGUGGAGGAUGGCCCAAGUGCUUGGGCCCUGCACCCCAUGGGAGACCAGGAUAAGUACCUGGCUCCUGCCAUCGAUCAGCGCGGUGCACCGGCCGCAGCGCACCAGCCGCGGUGGCCAUUGGAGGGUGAACCAAUGGCAAAGGAAGACCUUUCUCUCUGUCUCUCUCUCUCACUGUCCACUCUGCCUGUCAAAAAAAAUAAAAAUAAAAAUAAAAUAAAUUUUAAAAAAAGAGAAUAUACAGGCUCAUAUGAACUAAUGAUCAGCAACUGCACAAUGUUCAGGAAAGAUACUAUUUCAUAGCAAGUUAUAUUCAUGCAGAGAACGCAAGCUUGGCAUUCAAUUAGAAAAUUAAGCACUUGACCAUACUAGUAAGUGAAAAGAGAAAAACCAUAUAAACAACUCAAUAGAUGCUGAAAAAGCAUUUAAGAAAGUUUAGCAUCCAGUUAAGACAAAAACUAUUAGCAAAGUAGAACUAUGAGGGAACUUUGGUAAACGGGUAAAGGAAAUUCACAAAAAUCUCAAAAGCAAAGGUCAUACUUAGUGGAGAAACAACGAAAUUUUCAUUUGAGAUAGUUACAAGACAAAAGCACCUUCCAGCACUCCCACAAACUGUUUACCCAAUACAGUGAACAAGACAAGUAAAUAAAAGGUAUAUGGAUUAGAAAGGAAAAAGUAAAAUUAUUAUUUUCAUGUUAUAUGUCUGUAUUUGUAGAAAACCCAAAGAUUUCAAGAUAAAUUAUUAAGGGACCGGCGCUGUGGCAUAGUGUGUAAAGCUGCUUCCUAAAGUGCUGGCAUCCCAUAUGGGUACUGGUUCGAGUCCUGGCUAUUCCACUUGUGAUUCAGCUCUCUGCAAUGGCCUGGGAAAGCAGUGGAAGGUGGUCACUCUUGCACCUGCUUAGGUGACCAGGAAGAAGCUCCUGGCUUCUGAUCAGCACAGCUCUAGUCAUUGUGGCCAUCUGGAGAGUGGACUAGUGGCUGGAAGAUGUUUUUCUCUCUCUCUCUCCCUCUGCCUCUCAAAUAAAAUAAAUAAAUCUCUCUUUUUUUUUAAGAUUUUAUUUCUUUAUUUGAGAGGUAGAGUUACAGACAGUGAGAAGGAGAGAGAGAGAGAGAGAGAGGUCUUCCACCCGCUGGUUCACUCCCCAGGUGGUCGCAACAGCUGGAGCUGCGCCGAUCCGAAGCCAGCAGUCAGGAGCUUCUUCCAGGUCUCCCACUCUGGUGCAGGGGCCCAAGGACUUGGACCAUCUUCUACUGGUUUCCCAGGCCACAGCAGAGAGCUGGAUUGGAAGAGGAGCAGCUGGAACUAGAACCGGCACCCAUAUGGGAUGCCGGUGCUGUAGGCAGAGGAUUAACCUGCUGCGCCAUGGCACCAGCCCCAAUAAAUCUUUUUUAAAAAAGACAAAUUACUAGAACUAGAGAGCUUAUCAAGAUUACUAGACAUUCAGUAUUCAAAAGCAAUGGUUUUCCAAUAUCAGCAACAAUUAUAAAAUAUAUUAAGAAAUAUAUAUUAAGAAAUAAAUACCAUUUAUAUUGACAAUAAAAACAAAAACCCAGGAAUUUUCAAAAGAGAUUCAUGAAACUUCAGGAUGAAAAAAACAUCAAUACUUGGGAAAAUAUCAAAAUAAAAUGAAUAGAAUGCCGAUUAUUCUGAUGUAAUUAUUACACAAUGUAUAUAUUCUUGAAUUAAAACAUCAUAUUACAUCCCACAAAUAUGUACAAUUAUGUUUCAACCAAAAAUUAAAAUAAAACAAGGAAACAAAACUAGUGGGAAUUUUCAAUAUUUACAAAGAUGUCAGUUUUCAAUGGAUUCAAUUUGAUUGUGGUAAAAAUCCCAAUAGCUUUUUGUGUAAGUGUGUGUGUGGUGGUGGUUUUGAUUUUGAGGAAAUUAAGGAGCUUAUUCUAAAAUUUGUGUAUAACAGCAAAUGUCCAAAAAUAGCCAAGACACUCUUGACAAAAAGAACAAAAUGCUCUUAAAUGGAUGACUCCUUCUGGGUAUCAAGAUUUAUUGUAAAGUUGUAAUAGGUCUAGGGCAGGGGUAAAAGUUAGCCAACACAUAAAAUAGAGCUGGGAGAAACAAGCCCACAUAUAUCAAGCAGACAUUGAGAAACAAUGGAGAAAGCAUAAACUGUUACGUAAACAGUGUUCAGGCUAUCUGUCACAGGUGAAAAGAAAACUUAAAUCGUAUCCCAGUCUCACAUAAACCCAAUCCGAGUGGAUUAAAGACAUACAUAUAAAAUAGAAAAGUUGAAAAGUUUUAAGAGAAUAGUGUUGCGAACUUGGGGUAAAAAGAAUUUCUCGGCCGGCGCUGCGGCUCACUAGGCUAAUCCUCCGCCUAGCAGCGCUGGCACACCGGGUUCUAGUCCCGGUUGGGGCGCCGGAUUCUGUCCCGGUUGCCCCUCUUCCAGGCCAGCUCUCUGCUGUGACCAGGGAGUGCAGUGGAGGAUGGCCCAAGUGCUUGGGCCCUGCACCCCAUGGGAGACCAGGAGAAGCACCUGGCUCCUGGCUUCGGAUCAGCGCGGUGCGCGGGUUGCGGUGGCCAUUGGAGGGUGAACCAACGGCAAAGGAAGACCUUUCUCUCUGUCUCUCUCUCUCACUGUCCACUCUGCCUGUCAAAAAAAAAAAAAAAAAAAAAAGAAUUUCUCACACCACACACACAUAGAUGAAACUAACCACUGACAGACAAAUCAGUGGAUUAAAAUUAAGGAGGAUGCCCUUUGGCAUGCCCCUGCCCCAUAUCUAGUGCCUGUGUUAGAGUCCUGGAGCCCCAACCCCAGCUUCCUGCUGAUGCACCCUCUGGGAGGCAGCAGGUGACAGCUCAAGAGUUGGGUCCCUGCCACCCAUGUGGAAAACCUGGAUUGAGUUUCAAGCUCCUGACUUCUGCUUGAGCUACUGUCAGCAUGUGGGGAGUGAAAUAACAGAUGGAAGAUCUCUCUCUGUUCCUCUGUCUCUGCUUUUCAAAUAAAAUGAAACUAAAUAAGUAUUUUUUUUUAAUUUAAGAACUGUGUUCCUUAACAACAACACAGAGAGAGUAAAAGCAGGUCACGCUGGAUACUGCGUUUUCAGUACAAGUAAAUAUAAAGAUUAGAAUCCAGAAGAUACAAGAAUUCCAUGAAUCAAUAAGAAAAUGACAACCAACUUAUUAGGAAAAUGAGGAAAGACACAAGGAGAUGGCACAGGAGAAGAAGCAAACAUUAAUUCACUCAUGACCUCAAUAGACGUCAAACAAAUUUAAUUCUAAAACAUGAGAUGCUCUUUAAGACCCCAAAGAUUGGCAAAAAUAUAAAAACAAAACCAGGUGUGGGCCAGGAGGUAGAGCAGAGGCAACUCUCCAACAUUGCUGCAAAGAGAACAAAUGGAUCCAUCACUUGGGGAAAGUGCUUGGGUUUCUUAGCGAAGCAGAAAAAUCCAUUCCUGGAUAUAACUGAGAAACUGCUAGUUCUGUGUACUAGAAGGCAUGAACAGAAAUGUGCAUGGUGGCACUCUGUAUUAAAAACAAACAGGCUGAUGCUGUGGCAUAGCGGGCAAAGCCGCUGCCUGCAGUGCCAGCAUCCCAUAUGAGUGCCAGUUCGAGUCCCAGCUGCUCCACUUCCGGUCCAGCUCUCUGCUAUGGCCUGGAAAAGCAGUACAGGAUGGCCUAAGUGCUUGGGCCCCUGCACCUGUGUGGGAGACCUGGAAGAAGCUCCAGGCUCCUGGUUUUAGCCUGGCCCAGCUCCAGCAGUUGCAGCCCUUUGAGGAGUGAACCAGAAGAUGGAAGAUCUCUCUGUCUCUGUCUCUGUCUCUCUCUGCCUCUGCCUCUUUGUAGCUCUGAUUUUCAAAUAAAUAAAAAACAAAACAAAACAAAACUAUAUGCAAUCCAAAUGUCCAUCUGUAAUGAGAUGGUGAACAAGCUGUGGGCUAUUCCUGUAACAGACCAGUGUACAGAAGGAAACCUAAGAGAAGCAGAGCUACACACAUCAGCCUGGAUGAAUCUCAAAAUGCUCGUGCUGAGUGGAAAUAGCAAGUUAACACAUGCAUCCAGUACGACCCCUUCUGUCUAUAGCUUGAAUGAAGGAAGUAAUAGAUUGUUUGGGGUACAAAUAGGGGUGUCAAAAUUACAAGACAAAGCAGAUGGCUGACUAAUGAGAUGAUGGUCCCCUUGAGGAGGGCGUGGGCAGAGAUUUGUAUAGGAAGCGCUACGCAAACAAACGAGAAGGCCUAUAGAUGCCCUGUUGGCUAACACUGCUCCAUGAGUGUUCAAUUUAUUAUAAUCCUUGUAAGAUGAGAUUUAUAUACUCUUAUAUAUGCUGUAUUUCACAACAUUUACAAUUUAAUUAAACAUUUACAAUUUUCCAAAGUAAAUACUUGGAUGUGUUCUUGGACUGUUUACAAAUAUGGUUGUCAAAACCUGACACAUUAGAAAUCACAAUCACAAGCAAAAAUCACAUGAACACAAGAAAACCUAAUUAAUGUGCCAAUAUUUGUCUCUUGAUUACAGAAUUCUUGGGUAAAAGUGCCGAAAAUUAAUGAAACUUGUACUGUGUUUCUGCUAAUUUGUUAUUCAAUAAUUCAAUAAUUAUUUAAAGUCAUCUUAGAGACCCCCUCAUUUCAUUUCCUCUCCUCUAUGAAAUCCUCUCAUUACCUGGUUAAUGCCACUCUUAGGAUCAUUGGUUGCUAUUCUCACCCUAUCUUUUAUACAACAGUGUCUGUUUAAGUGUUUACAACAGGUGAUAAUGGAACGAACCAAGGCCUUCAGGAACCAGCAGUCAACCAAAUGCUUCUUCAGGGAUAUACUCGGCUCCCCACCCAGGAGACUGUGGCUGGAGACAUUGCCCCGUGCAAGUAAAGAGUACCUCGUCGCCCCAGGUCACCAGGAAGUAGCUCUAAAGGCAGAUCAUCAUCCCUCUACCCUUCCUGGACUUUUGGGACUAAUACACAGUUCUCUACCAGCCCAUCUUCGGCCCAUCUGUAAUAUGACAAUGCUUGAUGAUCCCGAGAUAAUGGAAGACACAAACACCAACCUAGUGUACAGUUAAUGCACACAGAAACCCACGAUCCAGAAGAGCUGGGUUGACAUGUCCCAUCACUGAAGAGUAAUGAAACAUGGGGAAAAUUGGCAGAAUUCCUCCAUAGGGGAACCACAGGCAAUCUCUAAAUGUGGAUGAAUCGGGCUCAACAUUUUCACGGGGUUCAUAUUCAGCAACCGCUGCAAAGGAUAGCUACAGUCCCACUUUGAAGUUGGUACAUUCUUGGGACUUGUAUUCUCGUCAUGCAUUUCCAUUUCCCACCGAAGUAUAACUUCUUUUUACAAGAGGAAUAAUAGCAGCAAACAUGUUUUCUCACAAAUUACUUUUAAAGAGAAAUUUGAUUCAGUUUAUGGAUCCUGUCUAAACAACAGGGAAAAGGAAAAAGUCUGUGAUCUCAGAUUCCUUGAUGGACAGGGGAAGAGACAAAUAUUCUCUGGGGACUUGAUCUGCAUGAAGGACCAGGCUUAAAAACGUGAUUAGAACGCAGGCCAGUUGACAUGUGCAUCAUGCGGUAAGUCACAGUGUGACACUGGCAUCCCACAUGAGCACCAUUUCACAUCUUGGCUGCUCAAUUUCUGAUUCAGCUCCCUGCCAAUGCACCUAGGAAAGCAGCAGAAGACGAUCGAAGUGCUUAUGCCUCUGCACCUUCGUAGGAGACCUGGAUGGAGUUCUGGGCUCCUGGCUUUGGCCUGGCCCAGUCCCAGCUGUUGUGGCCAUUUGGGGAGAGAACCAGUGGAUGGAAGAUCUCUUUCUCUGUGUGUCUCUUCUUCUUUCUCCUGCCUUUCAAAAUAAACAAACAAAUCUUAAAGAAAACAACAACAUGCACAACACCAAUUAAAUGAAUCAUGGUGAGGGGCCAGUGUUGUGGCGCAGUGGAUAAAGCCCUAGCCUGUGGUGCCUGCAUUUCAUAUGAGCGCCUGUUUGAGUCCCAGCUGCUCCACUUAUAAUCCAACUCUCUGCUAACGGCCUGGGAGAAACAAAGGAAGAUGGCCCAAGGACUUGGGCCUCUGCCACCCACGUGAAAGACCAGGAAGAAGCUUCUGGUUCCCAGCUUUGGCCUGGCCAAACCCCAGUCAUUGUAUGCCAUCUGGGGAGUGAACCAGUGGAUAAAUAAUCAAUCUCUCUCUCUCUCUCUAAUUCUGACUUUCAAAUAAAUAAGAAAGUUUUUUUUAAAAUGUAUCAUGGCUGGGGCCGGUGCUGUGGCAUAGCAGGUGAGGCCACCACCUGCAGUGCCAGCAUCCCAUAUGGGCGCCAGUUCGAGUCCCAGCUGCUCCACUUCCGGUCCAGCUUCCUGCUAAUGGUCUGGGAAAGCAGUAGAAGAUGGCCCAAGUCCUUGGGCCCCUGCACCCACCCAUGUGGGAAACCUGGAAAAAGUGCCUGGCUCCUGGCUUUGGAUCGGUGCAGCUCCAACCAUUGCAGCCAAUUGGGGAGUGAACCAGCAGAUGGCACACCUCUCUACCUCUCCUUCUCUCUCUGUGUAACUCUGACUUUCAAAUAAAUAAAUCUAUUAAAAAAUAAAUAAAAUAUCAUGACUGAGCAUCUCUCAACUCACUACAUUGCUGCUAAUCUUAAAUUAAAAUUCUGAAUGUUUCUACUGCUUCUCUCUUGGAGGUCGAAAGGAAGCAUUUAGAAACUGGGAAUUUUUUUUUCUAAGGGAAAAAAUUGUGUUCUGUGCGAUCCACAGUUCUUUUUCUUAUUUUCUGCCUUGAAUAUUCUGAGAGGACACCUAGACACUUUCACAUUAUGUGUUAAAUCACUUCCCCCAUGUCAAAUUAGUUUGCCAAAUUGCUUUCUGAUCCUGAUUCCUCAGGAGGGCAGACUCUGCUCCCUGCAUGGGUGGAGAUAUGCCUUAGCCACAUUUUGCAGUCUCCAGCGCCAAGACACGUGGAAAGUAUUAGAGAGGACACACUUGUAAGUCCUUGACUUGAAUGAUCCAUGUCCUUAUGUUGUCUCAGCUCCUGCUCUGUUGCUGUAACAGAGUACCGCAGACUGGGUAACUUAGAAAGAACAUGUGUUUAGCUCGCACUCCUGGGUGCUGGGAAGUCCACAGCUGCCUGUUUCUGGUGAGGGUCUCUGGGUUGUGCCACAACAGCCGGGAGGGCAUUGCCUGGUGACAGGGUAUAUGGAAAAGCAGAAGCAAGAAGGAAAAAGGGGGAACUCAUCUUUUUUUUAAUCAGGAACCCAUCUCAUGAUAACUAGUCCCCUCCUGGGGUGGUAGCAUUAAUCCAUUCCUGUUCUGGGAGCCCUUUCCCAAUUACCUCCCUUUAGUCCCCACCUCCCUGUACUAUCAUAGCAGCAAUUACAUCACAUGGGUGUUAGAGGGGACACUCAAACCAUAGCAAAUGUAAAUGUUAUUUAAAGACCAAGACGGUAGCCUCUGUUGUGCCACAGCGGGCUAAGCCACUGCUUGUGGAAGCAGCACGCCACAUCACAGUGUUGAUUCAAGUCUCAGCUGCUCUGCCUCCAAUCCAGACUCAUACUAACGUGCCUAUAAAGACAAUGGAAGGUGGCAACGGGAGAUGGGAGGUCAAGAUGGAGUUGCUGGCUCCUGGCUUUGGCCUGGCAGCCUCUGGGAGAGUGAACCAAUGGAAGGAAGACCUAUCUCUCUGUCUCUCCCUCUCACUGUCUGUAACCCUACCUCUCAAAUAAAUAAAUAAAAUCUUAAAAAAAAAAAAAACUCUACUGAUUCUGGGUAUAUCCUAUGCAAAGGUUUUUCAAGACUUAAAGUAAUUAAGUAUGCUGUCUUUUUCAGUAAAAUAAUGUAUUUUUACCUAAAUGAAAUAGGGUAAUAUCAAUGGAUUUUUGCACCCUAAACUAUUCCACAGAGAAAUUCAAGAGCUAAGGGCAGAAGAUCAAGAACUCCAUUUCCCAGGUUUUGUCUGAAAAGGCAAUUAUCAUUCUAAUAUGUCCCAUUAGAAGUUGACAACUGCUAAAUGAACCUAUGCGCACAAGCACACAUACAUGAGUGGGUUUGUGUUUCUCUCUCUAUUUAUUUGGAAGAGAGGGAGAGAGAAAGAGAGAAUGUAUUCCAUCCUCUGGUUCACUCCCCAAAUGGCUACAACAGAGCUGGAGCUGGGCCAAUCCAAAGCCAGGAAUCUGGAGCUUUUUCUGGGUCUCCCACACGGGUGCAGGGACCCAAGCACUUGAACCAUCUUCUGCUUUCCCAGGCCAUAGCAGAGAGCUGGAUCAGAAGUGGAGCAGCCAGGACUCAAACCAGCGCCCAUAUGGGAUGCCAGCACUGCAGGUGGCGGCUUUACCUGCUACUCCACAGUGCCGGCCUCUUUAUUUAACACUUUGUACCAUAUAUAAUGUUACUUCAACUUCAGAUUUCUCUAAUCUCUCUGUCAAAAUGCAGCAUGAGGGGCAGGUGUUGGGUGCUGCAGCUACACUGCUGCUCAGGUUAUCUGCAUCCCAUCUCAGGGUGCCUGGGUUCCAGUCCCAGCUCCCUUCCCCAGCUCCCCGCUUCUUGCUAGUGCACACACUAGGGGACAGCAGGUGAUGGCUCAAAUACUUGAGUCCCUGCUACUUCCAUGGGAAAUCUGGAAGGAUUUUGGGGCUCUGGGCAUUGGCCUGGCCCAACCCCUGCUGUUACAAACACUUGGGCAAUACAUCAACAGAUGGGAAAUGGAUCUCUCUCUCUCUCUCUCUUUUCUCUUUGCCUUUCAAAUCAAAUAAAUAAAUAUUUAAAAUGCAGCAUGAUUUAGCAUCAAACCAUAUUAAACACAGGUAGUACAGUGCUAGGUAUGGAAGAUAAUACAUUAGCAUAAGGUUCUGUCAUUUCAUCUAAUGGGAGAAUAUCUUAGUUUCAAAAAUAUUUCACAAUCAGUCUCUUAAGCCAACAAAAAACAAUCGCUAACCUCGAGGCUAUAGGCAAACAGAAACACACAUCAAAAUGUACAGUGACUAUUCUUCCUCCAUUUGUUUCCUUAGCAAAUAGAAUUUGAUUGCUGAGUUCUUCAUGGAACGAUGAGUCUUUUGUAUUUUAUUUCUAUCUAUAGACACUGAGAUCUGUCCCUCUGCCGUGGAGAUGUUGUCUUAUAUGAGAGUCAUAUUUCAGCAAACAUAAUUAAACCAUCACAAACACAGCCUGGCAUCAGUCAGACCAGAGUUAUCGCUGCCGUGCUGUAGACGCAUACAAAAGUAUUUCACAUUCUACUGGGGAGGGGGGAGACCACUAAAUAUUUCAUGUUUUUUUUUUAUCAGAUUGUUUAUUUCUCAACAUUUUAAAGACAUACACUUAAUUUUUCUUGACAGCUAUUUCUGUCCUCAUGUUGGAGAAAUAGAUAUUAAGGGCAAAAUUUGCAUGGGAUGCCAAGAGCUGGUAUUUUCCUGGAAUGAUGCUUACAUUGUGCAUAAAAAUAAAUCUCAUACUGUUCUCCAGAAAAUGUCCUUGGCAUUUGAUGUGUUUUCCAAAGCUAUAUUCUGGGCUGUGCAGCACACUGGGGCCCUGAAGAAUACCAUCAUGUUCUUCUAAACAGGCCCUGCGAAGUACAGAAGUGCCCUGGGUCUGGGGAGAGAGAGAGAGAACUGGAAGGUUCAGAAUGGGGUGGAGGCUUCAUUAAUUCAGAAUUAAUAAAGAACUAAU